UGCUGUAUGGUGCAGUGGUUUGAGUGUCAGACUAGGACUCUGGAGAUCAGGGUUCAAUUCCCAGCUCAACCA